UAUGUGAUCGUCUCUCGCAUAUCAAUAAGCGGAGGAAAAGAAACUAACAAGGAUUCCCCUAGUAACGGCGAGUGAAGCGGGAAGAGCUCAAAUUUGAAAUCUUAAAGGGUUUCCCUUUACGAAUUGUAGUUUAAAGAAGUGUUUUCUGUUGAGGUUUUGGUAAAAGUUCUUUGGAAUAGGACAUCAUAGAGGGUGAGAAUCCCGUAUUUGACCUUUACUUUCAACUUUGUGAUACACUUUCAAAGAGUCGGAUUGUUUGGGAAUGCAGUCCAAAAUGGGUGGUAAAUUUCAUCUAAAGCUAAAUAUUGGCGAGAGACCGAUAGCGAACAAGUACCGUGAGGGAAAGAUGAAAAGAACUUUGAAAAGAGAGUUAAACAGUACGUGAAAUUGUCAAAAGGGAAGCGUUUGACACCAGUGUUGUUUUUCUGAAAAUCAAUUAAAGAACUGUUUAUGCUAAGUUGUUUAGACUUUAUCAGCUAAUCUGCUUAGUUUUGAGCUUUUCUUUAAUGCACUUUUCAGUUAACAAGUCAACAUCAAUUUCUUUUGCUGUAAAAAAGCUUGAGGAAGGUGGCUUGAGAUUCGUCUUAAGUGUUUAUAGCCUCUUGCCUAUGCAGUCGGAGAGAUUGAGGUCUGCAGCGUAGAUCCUUCGGGGCUAAAUGCAUUUGUGCUAAGUUAUAGCAUUUUAUAGACAACUUGUUGACUAUGAUUUGUCUUGUAGCUUACUCGCUUAUGUUAUUUUACCUACGCUUAGGAUGUUGACGCGCGUGUGUGCGUG
rnacentral:rRNA from 1 species